GUUGGCAGUGGAGGCAAGGGUGCCAUCAUGGAAAGUCCUGUGUACCUGAGUCCUUCUGAAGGGUAUUGCUGACUCUCCUUGAAAAGAGAAAGGACUGUGCUACCCCACUGCUGUGGAAUAACACUGUUAUCCAUCAUCACCUUCAUUGAAAUAAGCAGGACUAUUUGUGCAGUGGGCUGCAAGCAUCAGCAUCCACAUCUGGUCUGAACAGUUCCAUAGAAAUUCUCCUACACCGUGGAGCCAUGGGUUGGUUCAGGUCUGGUUCCCGUGGGCUUUCCCUGACUCUCUGAGGCCAUCCCAUCCUUGUCUAUCCCUCACCACUCCUGGGGCAGCUGUCUGGAGCCCCCUUGCUGAGCUGGAGACAGCUUCUGGCUUUAUGGGGUCCGCUUGGGAUUAGAGGCUGUCAGGCAGAGCAGGUGGGGAAGAGUCAUGCACUGAGGAAAAGCUAAUUGCCUGCGUUCACACGAGGUGAUGUUUGUAUCUAAAGCAUCAGCAAAGUGCAAUGGAUCUCCAUGAUUCAAGAGAACACAGAGUGGUGUCAAUCAAUGUCAAGUUACUUGCUUUGGAGGAGAUUUUGCCAGUUUUGUGGGCAGGAGUGGGAACUGAUUGAGCUGCAGCUGCAGUAGAUCUAAAUACCUGAAAAAUAUUUCACAAAGCUCCUAAAUUAAUGGUGAAAAGUAUUUGUCAGGCUGCUUUGCUUGAUCCUUUGAACAGGGGAAAAACGUGGACUAAAUGGGAGAGCAAACACAGAACUGAUGUCAGGCUGCGUGUGCUCUUUGUGUACAUGUUCUGGUGAUCAUCUCAGCAGUGCCUCUGGCCUUCACCUGAGAGAUUUGGCUUCUGAAGGGACAGAAAUGAUUUGGAGAUGGUCAGAGCUUGAUGAUACUGCUUAUUUCUCCAGAGAUGUGCAGACUUUGAGCAGUGUGCAACGGCUGUCAGCACAGACGUACUCCUGGUAUGGAUUGUCCCCCUGCUCUGUGUGUCCCUUUUGGGAGCCAUGGACACAGCACACCCACUCCAAUCACUGAAUGGCAGAGAUGAUCCCUACGCAGAUACUAGACCAAGGGCUGCUUCAUUGGGAACCUUCUGUCUCCUGAGCCAUCCCUCCAGUCUUUCCAUCUGCACUGCAUUGUACUUUUUUAAACAGGUUGGAAAUAAAAGUACAUUCUGCUUUUUGUUCUCAGCAGAAGGGAGAGCAGCAGUGGACACUGCUGCUGAGGUGUUAAUGGUGACAUUAUCUAGAAAGGGGCAGCCAAAACAGGAUGUGUAAAACCCCACCCAUGCUGCCCUUUAAUUUGCUGUUACACGGAGUGGAAGAUUUGAAAGCAUAUUUCUGGGUAAUUAAUUCAAAGAGUGAUUUCUAAUGGCUAACGUUGUCAGUUUUGACUGUAAGGGAGGUCUGGGGCUGGAGCAGGCAGUGAAGGGGAAGGAAAAUGCUUGGAGGUCACCGGCAGAUGUUAAAAUAUUUUGACAACCCACAUCCAAGAGGCUAACUUAGUGAAAUGCUUUGGCCAGCACCUUCCAAGAGGUCUGAAACUGAAUCAAUUUGUUUUUCUCCUGUAUAGCAUACAUGGCUUGGACACUGGCUUGUCCAUAAAUCACCAUUCCCCAUCUGGGCAGCAGCACCAUCAAUCACUUCCUGCACCCACCACCCUGCUCUCUGUGCCACUGCAGAACCACCGAUAAGAGGGAUUUAGAGUCUCUUGAAUUUAACUCCCAAAUUUUCCGUGACACGUAGGGUAAGCUCUGCCUUCAUCUCCACUGAUUAUUAAAGUCAGUGCGACAAAGGUCCUGCACCUGUGUAUGGAAAUAUACCUGAUCUGUGGUGCUGGGGAAAUGAAAUUAGGAAGCUCUAUUCAUGGUGUUAUUAUCUCCGGCUGCUUGGAAGGAUUUAAUCAAACUGCUGCAGCUUGCUGAUGAGGAUGUCCGCAGCUUGCGAGUUUGGUUCCCCUGCACUUCAUCUCUCUGUGGCAUUUACUAAAACCCUCCAUCCUACCCCAGCGGGCUUGGAGUCAAAUACAGCAUUUGCAAAGGAUUUGCUGGGGACCAUUCUGCCGAGGUUUUUCAAAAGAGUUGGUCAGGAAGCUGGAGAGGCACAGCUCCUGGCAGUCGUGCUCACUGGCUUUUCACUGCCUUUUUUGUGCUUCAGAGAACACUCGGGAUAAACGGAUAGGGAAAGAAAACUUGUGAAUGCAGAAAAUAACUGGGAGAAUAUUUGAUUCAAGUUUGAUUUCUGAAACAAGGUUUUGGUCAAGACUUACUCUUUUUGAUUUCCUUUGCUUGUGUCCAGAUAUGGAUUCACCAUUUCAACCCUUCUGCAGUUCCUACGCUUAUUGUAACAGGGUGUAUUGGUAAAUUGGAAAGCACAUCCCUCAUUUUCUGUCCUACACUUCUGUCAUGCAUGGAGAAAUCUAUUAUUUUUCCACCCCGGCCUGUGGUGGUUGCACUUCAAGGUGGGUGAAGGCACCCCAUGUGCCUGUACCACUUGCAGAUGCACACACGAGGUUGAUUGGACCAAAGCUGGCAGAUUUCCACUCCAAUUAGCCACAUCCAUUUUGUUCAGCUCUCUAAAAAGCAGAAAAGAAAGACGUCUGUAUGCAGGCAUGGACAUACACAGCAUUACUGGUGCCAAUAUGCCUAGUGCAGACCAACACAAAACCUGGAGCAGACUUUCACCAGCCUGGGCCUCCCACAGUUUACCUUGUUGCCAGGCUUGUGGCUGUCUGUUGGAAGUUGGUGUACUGCUGGAGGUGCUGUACAGCAAAUCCAUCCACAAAACAGAUGUACCUUUCCUUUGUAUGCAAACUCUGUCACUCCAUACGUUAAUUAGAUAAACGCUUGCCCUGUUGGCUGAUCAGCUGUAUUUGGGCACGCACCUGGACUUACUGCAGGGCUAAGUUAAGCAUAAGUCACCAGAGUCCAAAAGUUCUGAUCAUGUCAAUUAUAUAUAUACAUUCUUUACAGUUCUCUAAAGCUCCCUAUUCAGUAAGGAAGAAAGCUGUGUGCUGGCAGUCUGUCUAUCUGAACACAUUUUUCAUUACCAAUGCAGCAGGAUGGGAAGUGAACAGCAGCAUCUACAUACAUAUGCAAUUAAACCAUUCCUUACACAAUAGCCACUUGCAGUUACCCCUGUAAAAUCCAUAGCCAACGCUCUCAGAUCAGCAGCAGUCGUCAGUCCCUCUUUGCAAUCAGUAAAUAGACUCUCCCUCUGGCCCCAGAUGAAGGAUGCAGGCAGCAGCAGGCAGACGCAGCCCUUGCGCUCCCCUCUGAGCAGCUGCCAAAAAAUCCUCUCUGCCCUCGUGUGAUCAUAAUGGAAGGGACGGCUCUGCUGGGGUGUGCCGGCGCGUUCUGCCUCACUGCCCAGCACGGGAUGCUCUCCCUUCACGCUCCGCUGCCUUGGAGCUGCACACAGGAGUUGCCUCCAGCAGCCCUUGCCAGCCCCUGGAUAUUUUGGACAUUGAGUGCUGCAUGAACAAUAGGACCGCAGCUCUUGGCCAGGAGUCGUGGCCAAGCAAAGAGCUCCCGGACUGUGACCAGUAAAAAGGAGAGAUUUCCUUUAAGUGCUGUAUUGUGAAGGGGAGUUGGGUGGCUGGGAAGGGCUUCUCUCUCUCUCUCCCUUUUUGUUCUUGUCCAGGAGCAAUCUUUGCUUGCUGAAGGAGUGUGAAAGCACCAAGUGUCCAUUAAGGCUGUAAGAUACACCCAGGACUUCAGUGCUAACUCACAUUAAAGCUCUCCAUGGCAAUGGUGUGAAUGCGUGUAACAUCAAGCAGAAGCAGAGAGCUCAUGGGAUCAGAGAGGAUUGUAGUGGUCAGGGGAAGCAGGACAAGGAGGGCAGCUUUCAUUCAUUCCAGCCCCAAAUAUCUCUGUGGUUCUACCUUGCUCUGCAAAAGUCUCCCAGGUUCACUUGUUCCUCUGAGAUUUCUUUCAUCCUACUUAGCAAGCUCACAGCUGCAGCUGCUGAA